rnacentral:rRNA from 1 species
GAUGAACGCUGGCGGCGUGCCUAAUACAUGCAAGUCGAGCGAACAGACGAUGAGCUUUCGCCUCUGAGGUUAGCGACUGACGGGCGAGUAACACGUGCAUAACCUACCUAUAUUACUUGGGUAACUUCGUGAAGCCGGAGCUAAUACCGGAUAAUAUAAUCUACCGCAUGAUUCAAUAGUGAAUGGCGGUUUUGCUGUCACUUAUAGAUGGAUCCGCGUCGCAUUAGCUAGUUGGUAAGGUAACGGCUUACCAAGGCAACGAUGCGUAGCUGACCUGAGAGGAUGAUCGGCCACACUGGAACUGAGACACGGUCCAGACUCCUACGGGAGGCAGCAGUAGGGAAUAUUCCGCAAUGGGCGAAAGCCUGACGCAGCAACGCCGCGUGAGUGAUGAAGGUCUUCGGAUCGUAAAACUCUGUUAUUAGGGAAGAAAAACUGUGUAAGAAACUAUGCACGUCUUGACGGUACCUAAUCAGAAAGCAACGGCUAACUUCGUG